CAGUAGCCACGGUAAUACGUAGGUGGCAAGCGUUGUCCGGAAUUAUUGGGCGUAAAGGGCUCGCAGGCGGUUUCUUAAGUCUGAUGUGAAAGCCCCCGGCUCAACCGGGGAGGGUCAUUGGAAACUGGGGAACUUGAGUGCAGAAGAGGAGAGUGGAAUUCCACGUGUAGCGGUGAAAUGCGUAGAGAUGUGGAGGAACACCAGUGGCGAAGGCGACUCUCUGGUCUGUAGCUGACGCUGAGGAGCGAAAGCGUGGGGAGCGAACAGGAUUAGAUACCCCUGUAGUCCCUGUCUCUUAUAC
rnacentral:rRNA from 1 species